GAUGAACGCUGGCGGCGUGCCUAAUACAUGCAAGUCGAGCGAACAGAUAAGGAGCUUGCUCCUUUGACGUUAGCGGCGGACGGGUGAGUAACACGUGGGUAACCUACCUAUAAGACUGGGAUAACUUCGGGAAACCGGAGCUAAUACCGGAUAACAUUUGGAACCGCAUGGUUCUAAAGUGAAAGAUGGUUUUGCUAUCACUUAUAGAUGGACCCGCGCCGGAUUAGCUAGUUGGUAAGGUAACGGCUUACCAAGGCGACGAUACGUAGCCGACCUGAGAGGGUGAUCGGCCACACUGGAACUGAGACACGGUCCAGACUCCUACGGGAGGCAGCAGUAGGGAAUCUUCCGCAAUGGGCGAAGGCCUGACGGAGCAACGCCGCGUGAGUGAUGAAGGGUUUCGGCUCGUAAAACUCUGUUAUUAGGGAAGAACAAACGUGUAAGUAACUGUGCACGUCUUGACGGUACCUAAUCAGAAAGCCACGGCUAACUACGUG
rnacentral:rRNA from 1 species